CGAAGUCUGACCAGAAGACCAUUGUUUUGUGUCAGCCUCUGGAAUCAGCUCAAAUGCCCUGGGAAGUUCGGACAAAGGACCCGCUUCGGGAAAGCCGUAUUCCUGGUCGUAGUGCUGGAAGGGGACCCUGUCUUAAUCUCCACACGAGAGCCUGGGUUCGAGGAUGCUGACAGGAGCUCAUCCAGGUAACCAAGCGCAUAAUCAAAUUUGGCACUCGUAAGAUGCCUUGACCAUUUUUUCCAUUCCUUUAAAUAUUUUUCUUUCUCCUGGCAUGGGGGGGGGGCAUCCACAGAGAAGCAGGAAAGACUGCAUUACACACGUCGUUCAACACUGACUAGUUACAACCCACUUCAGAAUAGCCUCUUGAUCUAAUGAUAUAUUGCAACAAUGUUUUGUUUGUUAUCCUUUUCUUUUUAUAAAGGGAAAAAUGUGAAGUCAACUUUCAUCAUGCAAAAUAAAGCCAAAAUUAAUCAUAAUCAGCAUGAGAAAAUGUAACAUUUGAAUUAAAAUAGUGCAAAGGACAACAAAAAUGUGUCAGUGCUCAAGUAUUGGACUUUAUUGACGGUUAAGCAAUAUCAGUGCACAAUACUCAUCACUUGAAUACAACAUGAUCAAAAUCCAUUGCUUUCUACAUACACAUGGUUUGUGAGCACAUUGGCUAAUCUUGUUGGGCAAAGUGAAGAUUUUAUUUCAUGACUUCAUUAAGAUUUAAGUUCAGUAUGGUAAGCCUUUAUGCGCUAUACAACUUUCUCACAAGCUUUUUUUUAUUCGCCAAUUAAAAGACAGUAUAAAAUUCACUUAAACAUAUCGGUAUAAACUCAAUAUGCUGGGGAAAAUAUAUUCCUGUACCCCCACCUUUGACAAACUUUACAGGCAAAAGGGGGAGGUAAGAAGUUAUCCAAUUAAUUUUAAAAAAGGUGACUUUUGUUACGUUCUUAGACGUUCACACUAGUAAACCAGAUCGAGCUUCAUUGGAAGUCCAAUACAGGGGUUGUAUUGUGUUAGUAGGCCAGGAUAUUUAUAUCAACAUUUCUGCAUUGGGCUGGGCUUUCUUGUAUAGGCAUUUCUCUAAAAACAAAAAGGAUAUUCUGUAUCCCAACAUGAAACACAAAGCCCAUCUAAGAGGUAAAAACAAA